CACAACCCCUACUCCUCCGGGGGGGCGGCGGCGGCUGAUACAUAUGAGGCUUCACAUUCAGCUUUAUACCAAGUGCCGUUUGUUCUGAACAAGAAAUAUACAAACACACACGGAGCGGUGAGAGAACCUACACCAUCUACACCAUACAAGUCUGCACAGCUGGUGGAGAGUGAGUAUUACUACAGCUUCUCGCUGGAGCAAGACGUCCUAC
rnacentral:lncRNA from 1 species